GACGAACGCUGGCGGCGUGCUUAACACAUGCAAGUCGAACGGUGAAGGGAUCAGCUUGCUGGUUCUGGAUGAGUGGCGAACGGGUGAGUAACACGUGAGUAACCUGCCCCCUUCUUCUGGAUAACCGCAUGAAAGUGUGGCUAAUACGGGAUAUUCUGGGUCUGUCGCAUGAUGGGUCUGGGAAAGAUAUUGUUUCGGUGGGGGAUGGGCUCGCGGCCUAUCAGCUUGUUGGUGGGGUGAUGGCCUACCAAGGCGGUGACGGGUAGCCGGCCUGAGAGGGGGGCCGGUCACACUGGGACUGAGACACGGCCCAGACUCCUACGGGAGGCAGCAGUGGGGAAUAUUGCACAAUGGGCGCAAGCCUGAUGCAGCGACGCCGCGUGUGGGAUGGAGGCCUUCGGGUUGUAAACCUCUUUCGCCAGUGAAGCAGGCCUGCUCCUUGUGGGUGGGUUGACGGUAGCUGGAUAAGAAGCGCCGGCUAACUACGUG
rnacentral:rRNA from 1 species